rnacentral:lncRNA from 1 species
AAAUUAUACCUUUCGAUUGUUUAGAGAAAGGAUCGAAGCCUGUCGCGUAGGACAGUUCGGCUAGGUCGGAGGACCUGCCGGCUUGAUGGAGAGUUGAUGCCGAUCGGAUCCGCAGCAACGUCGAGGUAGAGCGUGCUGAUAACGUGUUGAGAACUACGUCACCACAGAUCACCAGAUCCGCUCCCUUCCCUCCCGUCAGCAGUAGAGGCGCGAGAAGCUGUAGAGAACCCGUCUCCCUUCCCAGAAGCACGACAGAGUAACACACGAGACACAAUGUAUAGGGUUGGGCCUCUGGCCUCUUUCUCUUCUCUAUCUUAUGAUGGGGUGUACAGAUUCCUUAUAUAGAGACGUGAGACCCAUCAGGGGCAAAGCCGGUAUUUGCCCAUAUAACCCUAACUAGGGUUACUUAACAGUUUCAACUUUCCAAUGACACGAGUUAAACACAUGGUAUAUAUGUAGUGACGAUACGACUGCUCGAUUGACCGAAUUUCUUGUCUGGCAGCAACCUUAAUUGGUGGUGAUCGAUCGGCUUCAUGCUCAUCUUCCUAGCGGUCGUCAAGACCGGCACACUGCAUCUUCUUUGCAAGACAUCAAAUGGGCGUGCUUACGAAGGGGUGUUUGGUUUCUAGUGACUAAAGAGGUGUUUGAAUGCACUAGAGCUGAU